rnacentral:lncRNA from 12 species
GUUAUUUCACUUAGAAGAUUUGUCAUGGUAGAGUUGAUCUCCUUCUUGGGACUUUAAGGAUAAUUUGACAUUAUUUAUCCUAUCUUGCUCUCUACAAAGAAAAGUGAUAUUGUCUUCCACCUCUGUCAUCCUGAUGUGAAAACAAACAAGCCUAUGAACUCUGAACUGACAAAG